CACUGGACAGAGACUGGGCGGAGGCCAGCAAGCAGAGGAGGACCAGGCCCCAGAAGCUCUGCCCAUCUUUGCAGUUGUGGUUUUGUUGUGUACAUGCAUCUCAGGGACGAGCCCGGGGGUCCAAACCCCGCUGUUAGGGGCCCAGGGGUUGUUUGGCAAUGCUCAGAGACACUUUUGGCCGUCACGCCUGGGGGUCAGCUCAUUUGGCUGGUAGAGAGAUUUCGCUAAAUGUCUUACUAUGUACAAGACGGGCCCCAAACCAAGACUUUCCCAGACCACGAUGUCAGGGGGCUGAGGGGCACACUCGGAGGCGGCUCUCCUGCCUUGCCUGGGGUCCGUAGCAGGUAGGCGUGUGCUGCCAGGGAGGCCCCAGGAGCAGCUGCCCCCCCUUCCUGCGGGAGGUGACAUGAGGUUAGAGGAUGUAGCAGGCAGGGCCGCUGGGACAGUUCGCCUGCAGGGAGCGGAAGGAUUGCACAGGGGCUUCCGGGGGUGGCCUUGGCCGGGUCAGUGGGGGCUGGGGCAGGGCCAGGCUGCCUGGACUGUGGUCCAGGGCUUGGCGAGUGCAGGGAUGGCGGAGCUGGUCCCCCUCUGGGCCCUGCCACCCCACAGCCUCCAGGUGGUUCCAGCCUCAGGAGGGUUGGAUGGGGAGGAGGCAGGGAGGGGCCCCCUUGAACGCUGUUUGCUCAGCCAAGGUUUAAUCUCCAAAACAGGAAGGCUCAUGUUGACAGAAGCAGCAGCCGGAAUUGCCACUGCGCCUGCCAGGUUAAGUCUCCAGCCCCCACUCCUGUCCCCAUGCUGGGGGCCUCCCCAGAGACCCAGCCCUCAAGUAGAAUACUCCCACCCCCCACAGCCCCUAGGCUGUGCCACUUGAUGCCGACCAGGGCCCGCAGAAAGGGCCCCGCGGCCAGCUCUGCCAGCUGCAGGGGGAUUGGAGCGGGGGUGGGGGCGGAGGGUGGCAGGGAGGACAGGAAAGUGGAGGGAAUUGGGGGCUCAGGGCUCGAGGUCACAGGCUUAGCAGGGUGUGUCUCCUGGUCUCACUUUGCAGAUGAGGAAGCUGAGGAGCAGAGACAGAAGCGAGCUGGCCGGGUCCCACCGUGGCAGGAUGAGGGUGGUCGGCCCAGCCCCCGCCCCCUUCCCCGGUUCUGAAACUCCCUCUGACGAGCAGAGAAGCCCCAGACGCCUGCCGGGCACCCCUCCCCAGCACACUCGGGUCGGGGAGGGCCUGGCUCAGGGCUCGGCGCUGGGGAGACCGUGAAGGUUUGCCGAGCCAUCCGCUGACGUCAGGUCUCCCCACUGCCAGAGGAAGCCGCAGGACCUGGCCGGGUGGGCACACGGAUGUCACCGGCAGAGCCUAGAGGCCUUUCUCCUCCCAAGCAGCUGACUGGCCAGGACCGAGGUUCCGGGGCAGGGCUGAGGAGGCCUUCCACCCCCGGGAGUCCCCGCACCUCUCCGAGCCAGCUUCCCUGGUGUCUGCUUGGGGGUGGGGGUGGGGGGUGUCCAGAAAGUGCUGGACAAUGGCGGCAGCCAAAUGGAGCUGAGUUUGCUGGACACGAGUUUGCCAAGAGCUAGAAGGGCCCUUACAAUGUUAAGUCCCCUUUCGCAGGGGGGAGGAUGGAGGCCACCGAGGGCGAGCCCCUCCCGCAUGUCUCUCGCACCCCAGGAAAUCCUGCAGCCCUGUGGGACCCUGGCUCCGGCCCCCGCCUCCCACAGGUCUGCCAGAGGCAGAGGCAGGGAGGUGAUGGUAGAUGGCCUCGGGACACAGGUCGGAGUCACUGCUCCAGAAGGAGCUCCUGGCCAGGCCUGGCUCUCCCUGGCCACCCCAGCCAGCACACCAAGCAGGGACUGGACAUUCCCAGGCCAAUGGUGGCCGGUGGCUGCUCCAGGAGGGGAGGGAUCAGGUAGGCCGGACCCCAUACCCCCGCCUGCAGCAUGGCCUAUGGGCACCUCUCUGGGUGUGGGGAGAGAGGGUCCCCAGUCUUGGCUCUGCCCCCAGCUCCACCUGAGGAUCUUAGGCAGGCCGUAUGUCUCUCGAGGCACCGGCUGCCCACACUCGAGGCCCCCUUGGGGCUCCGAGGCCAGGCCCUGCCCCCGCAGGGCUGGACCCUGGCAGAUCUUCAGGCCUGGGGCAUCCUCAGGGGCUGCCCUGUCUCCACCUGCUAUUCCUGUCACUCUACCCCAGUGGCUCAGUUUCCCUUGUCAUCUACGCCGGUGGGGGGGGACCUGGGUGGACAUAGUCCCCCUUGAGGCGAGGGUGGAGGUGGAUCGGGUGUCCCAGGCGGGGCCCUCUGUGGCUGGGGCGGGGGCCAUGGCUUUCAGGUCCUCAAUAGCCCACGGUUGGGUUCCGUCCCAGGGGAAGCCCCUGCGGUGUGGCCAUUGUGAUGGGCGUGGGAACGGAGGCAUCCUGGCCAGACAGGGAUGCGCCUCGCUGCCCACAGGGGCCCCGCCAGGCCGGAGCCGAGGUGGGAGCACGCGAGGCGCAUGUACACACACGCACACACGCGCGCACACACACACGCACACACACGCACACGCACGCACAUGCACACACAUGCACACUCACAUGUGCAUACAUGCGCACAUGCACACGCUCACAUGCUCGCACACGUGCACACUCGUGCACACUCACACGCGUACACACAUGCAUGCACACCGGCCGAUGCGGGGGCUUGGCGCUUGGGGAAACUUGGCGCCCACGUGCCAGCAGGACGUGUAGGCGCCAGGUCCUCAGACCCCUGUGGGCACCUUGCCAGCCACCCGGUGCCACGGCUCGGGGAGAGUCACUCGUCCUUCACAGCGAGGUGAGCGGAGUGUGGCUGGAUUUCAGGAGUUUAUCCCUGGUCGCUGCACACGCGUGCGUGGCAGCCCUGACACUGCCCCCCGGCCGGCCCCCCUCUUCGAAACUUCCUUCGGCCUCUCCUGCCCCUCUCUGCAGUGUCCUCCCCCAACCCCCUGCUCGGGUGGCAAGGCGUGCCCUCGGCUGACAAGCCGCAGGCCGGUCCCUGUGGCGAUGACAAGGGAGCGGGCUGAUUUCAGGUCCUCGCGGCAAGGCGCCGUGGGGGAAUGAGUCGGGCUGUUGGAGGAGAGGGGACGAGAUGUCUCAGCUUCCCUGGGCCUGAAAAUGCCCACGUUUGUCUCUAUCACCCUCCCCAGCUGGGGUUCCAAGGAACUACUCUGUGAGGCCGCCGUGCCCAGCGUGGCAGAGAGAGGCCCGGACACACGUGUGUGUAGACGUGUAUGUGACUUCGCACGUGUGGAUGAGCCCGCGUGGGCACUGGAUGAGUAAGGGCACGGCAGCCGCAGGUCUGCACGUGUGAGCCGGUGGGAGGGGGGCUGUGUGCAGAGGACACGUGUGUCCAUGUGUACGCACGCCCGGAGCCGGCCCCGCAGCCCUCACGGGCGCCCUCCGUCCUGCAGAGCUGCGAAUUCGGAAGGGGGAGGUGGGUCAGGCUGGCCUCAGCCUCAUCCCCCAGGGAGGUGGCCAGGCCGAGGUGGGAGGCUGAGGCCAGGCCAGAGCGCGGGGCGGGGCUGUGCCAGGGUUGGUGCUUCCUGUCCGGCCAGUGGUGGCAACAUCGGACGGAAGGUUGGCCCCCAUCAGGAAGGCACUGCCCAGAGCAGGGGGGCUUCUGGAGGCCGAGUCCGCUUUCCCCAAGUUCAUCCUGAGCCUCCGCUGCUCCCCUACGGCCCCAGCUGCCUCCCUUCCCGGAGUGAGUUGAGUGGAGAGUCUCCCUCCUCCUGCUCAUGGCCAGAGCGGGCACGGACGCGGCUCUGUCCCCUGCACCUGCCUGGCUGAAUCCCUGCUGCCUUGUGUCCCCAGUAGACCCUGAGACGGGCAGGGCUUGGUCAGGGACACACACCCAGCCCAAAGGUGCAGCUGGACCCAGGAGGCCCGGCUCCCCAUCAGGGCACUCACGGUGUGGCAGCCCCAGCCCUCCCUGGACUAUGACUCCAGAAUGUGCCUCUGGCUGUUCAGUUGCUCUGUCCCCCUGAGCUUGACUUUGGACUGGGUGCGUCCUCCCAGGGCCAGGCCUGGUGGCUCCUCCAGACACAGAAAGAGAGGCCGAAGGUGAAGGACGGCCCGUACCGAGGCCGUCAACAGCUGGAAGCAUCAUGGAGAUGCUAGGUUCCCUGCUGGACCCUGGGGAUAGAACAUGAGACAGACCCAGCCCUGCCCACUGAAGCGCACACUCGCCCCGGGGGCCAGGAGACGGUGUCAGCAAACAGAUCGAGCUCCGCGAGGGGCAGCACGAGAAGAGACGGGGCCAGGCUGAGCCCAGGAGGGAACCACUUUGCGAGGAAAUGGAUGAAGUGACACCUGGGCCAAGGCCCAGAGGGUGUCACAAAGUACACGGGGACGUCAUCCAGCAUGGCGCUGGGGUCGACCGGGCCCCCUCGCGCCCCCCGCCCCUUCACGGAGCCCCUCUGCAGUGCCGUCUGCAAGCGAGCGGGAGCUGGUCAGGCUGCAGACAACUCAGCAGGAGUCGAAGACCCCGUCGGGCGUCUGGGGUGUCUGUGGGAGGUGUCGGGGGGAGGCUUGCCCCCCGCCAGGCUCCUCUCCCAGGCCCUCGCCCCUCCCUCGCCCGCCAGGUUCUGGGACAGGAGCCUUCCCCGAGGCCCUUUCCCCCAUAUCAGUGUCCUAGGGCUGCUGCAGCAAACGACCCUGACCUUGGCUUAAGACAGCAGAUGUCUGUCGCCUGGAAGUCUGGGGUCGAGGUGUCUGUGGGGUCGGCUGCCCUCUGAGGCUCAGAGGGAGGUUCUGCUUUCAGCUUCUCUCCCAGCUUCCAGUGGCCCCGACCAUCCUUGCUGUUCCUGGGCUCGUGGAUGCGUCUCGAUCUUGGCCUUCAUCGUCACCUGGCUGUCUUCCCUCUGCGUUCAUGUGUCCUCUCCCGUUCUCAGAGGACACUGGUCACUGGAUUCAGAGCCCAUGCUAAAUCCAGGAUAAUCCCAUCUCAAGACCCUCCAGUCAAUUACAUCUGCAAAGGCCUUUUCUCUAAAUAAGGCCCCCUUUCCACAUUCUGGGGGCUAGGACUUGACCUAACUUCUGUGGCCACCAUUCAACCUGGUGUACUCCCAAAUGCCAGGGAUCGGGGAGGUCACGUCUCCCCUCACUACCAAACCAGCGUCCCUGCUUUCACCACAGCAGACUCGGGGCCCAAUGGGACCCCGGACACGUGCAUGUCGGGAUGGCAGACGUGGGGUGGUAACAGAGAGCGGGCAGCGCCAAGCCUGCCCACCAAGAGCGCGGCCUGUGGUUGCCACGCCCACGUGGAACGAAUGGACAGACAGGGACCCGGCGCCAAGCACCUGCCCCACACAGGGCUAGGGGGGC